rnacentral:rRNA from 1 species
CGCAUCUGUGCAUGCAGCAUAUCAAUAAGCGGAGGAAAAGAAACUAACAAGGAUUCCCCUAGUAACGGCGAGUGAAGCGGGAAGAGCUCAAAUUUGAAAUCUUAAAGGGUUUCCCUUUACGAAUUGUAGUUUAAAGAAGUGUUUUCUGUUGAGGUUUUGGUAAAAGUUCUUUGGAAUAGGACAUCAUAGAGGGUGAGAAUCCCGUAUUUGACCUUUACUUUCAACUUUGUGAUACACUUUCAAAGAGUCGGAUUGUUUGGGAAUGCAGUCCAAAAUGGGUGGUAAAUUUCAUCUAAAGCUAAAUAUUGGCGAGAGACCGAUAGCGAACAAGUACCGUGAGGGAAAGAUGAAAAGAACUUUGAAAAGAGAGUUAAACAGUACGUGAAAUUGUCAAAAGGGAAGCGUUGACACCAGUGUUGUUUUUCUGAAGAUCAAUUAAAGAACUGUUUAUGCUAAGCUGUUUAGACUUUAUCAGCUAAUCUGUUUAGUUUUGAGCUUUUCUUUAAUGCACUUUUCAGUUAACAAGUCAACAUCAAUUUCUUUUGCUGUAAAAAAGCUUGAGGAAGGUGGCUUGAGAUUCGUCUUAAGUGUUUAUAGCCUCUUGCCUAUGCAGUCGGAGAGAUUGAGGUCUGCAGCGUAGAUCCUUCGGGGCUAAAUGCAUUUGUGCUAAGUUAUAACAUUUUAUAGACAACUUGUUGACUAUGAUUUGUCUUGUAGCUUACUCGCUUAUGUUAUUUUACCUACGCUUAGGAUGUUGAACGCGCACAGAGUCUC